AGAGUUUGAUCAUGGCUCAGAUUGAACGUUGGCGGCAGGCCUAAGACAUGCAAGUCGAGCGGAAACGAUGGGAGCUUGCUCCCAGGCGUCGAGCGGCGGACGGGUGAGUAACGCGUAGGAAUCUACCCAGUAGCGGGGGAUAGCCAGUGGAAACGCUGAUUAAUACCGCAUACGCCCUAGCCGUUAAAAGCGGGGGAAAGGCCGGGAUCUUCGGACCGGUCACUAUUGGAGGAGCCUGCGUUGGAUUAGCUAGUUGGUGAGGUAAUGGCUCACCAAGGCCACGAUCCAUAGCUGUUCUGAGAGGAAGAUCAGCCACACUGGAACUGAGACACGGUCCAGACUCCUACGGGAGGCAGCAGUCGGGAAUAUUGCACAAUGGGCGAAAGCCUGAUGCAGCCAUGCCGCGUGUGUGAAGAAGGCCCUAGGGUUGUAAAGCACUUUCAGUAAGGAAGAAAAAGCUGGGUUAAUAACCCGGUUUUAUGACAUUACUUACAGAAGAAGAUCCGGCUAACUCCGUGCCAGCAGCCGCGGUAAUACGGAGGGAUCAAACGUUAAUCGGAAUUACUGGGCGUAAAGCGCGCGUAGGUGGUUUGAUAAGUGGGAUGUGAAAGCCCCGGGCUUAACCUGGGAACUGCAUUCCAAACUGUCAGACUAGAGUACGAUAGAGGGGGGUAGAAUUCAGAGUGUAGCGGUGAGAUGCGUAGAUACUCUGAGGAAUACCGGUGGCGAAGGCGGCCCCCUGGAUUGAUACUGACACUGAGGUGCGAAAGCGUGGGGAGCAAACAGGAUUAGAUACCCUGGUAGUCCACGCCGUAAACGAUGUCUACUAGCCGUUGGGAGGCUUGACCUCUUAGUGGCGAAGCUAACGCGAUAAGUAGACCGCCUGGGGAGUACGGUCGCAAGAUUAAAACUCAAAUGAAUUGACGGGGGCCCGCACAAGCGGUGGAGCAUGUGGUUUAAUUCGAGGCAACGCGAAAAACCUUACCAGGCCUUGACAUCCUGAGAACUUUCUAGAGAUAGAUUGGUGCCUUCGGGAACUCAGUGACAGGUGUUGCAUGGCUGUCGUCAGCUCGUGUCGUGAGAUGUUGGGUUAAGUCCCGUAACGAGCGCAACCCUUAUCCUUAUUUGCCAGCACGUAAUGGUGGGAACUCUAAGGAGACUGCCGGUGACAAACCGGAGGAAGGAGAGGAUGAUGUCAAGUCAUCAUGGCCCUUACGGCCUGGGCUACACACGUGCUACAAUGGACGGUACAGAGGGCCGCAAAACCGCGAGGUGGAGCAAAUCCCAAAAAACCGUUCGUAGUCCGGAUCGGAGUCUGCAACUCGACUCCGUGAAGUCGGAAUCGCUAGUAAUCGCGAAUCAGCAUGUCGCGGUGAAUACGUUCCCGGGCCUUGUACACACCGCCCGUCACAUCAUGGGAGUGGGCUGCAAAAGAAGUGGCUAGUCUAACCUUCGGGAGGACGGUCACCACUUUGUGGUACAUGACUGGGAUGAAGUCGGAACAAGGUA
rnacentral:rRNA from 1 species